rnacentral:rRNA from 1 species
ACGCUCGACACCUACGAGAGGCAGCAGUGGGGAAUAUUGCACAAUGGGGGAAACCCUGAUGCAGCGACGCCGCGUGAGCGAAGAAGUAUCUCGGUAUGUAAAGCUCUAUCAGCAGGGAAGAAGAUGACGGUACCUGACUAAGAAGCACCGGCUAAAUACGUGUCAGCAGCCGCGGUAAUCUGAGCGGGCUGGCAAGGC